rnacentral:rRNA from 1 species
AUGGGGCGUCGCCUCCUCCUCCAGUGGCGGGGAUUGGCGCUAGUGUGCAAGCGAAAGCGACGACGCACACGCAGCAGAGAUCCCAGCUUGGCCAACUAUGGAGAUAUAAUCUUGGUACUGUUUGAGACGCCCUCUGGCUUUGCAAUUUUCUGUUUCAAGGAGGGCUACCUCAAAGAACCGAAUACCUGGCAAAUCUUUGGCGAGCAUUUUAGGACAAAAGGGAUCGUAUGGCUGAAAGAGUUUCAAAUUUUCAAGGACAAGUCCAGUGCCAUUGAUAAUUGUACUGGUGUUAGUAGGGAGCUUACUGAGAUGAUCUCGCGCUGUCACCACCCUUGCCAGAAAUUGGCCGUUGGAAAACCUGAAUACAAAACAAUCAUCGAAACAAGCUUGCCGGGUGUACCUUGCCUCUUCGACGAAACUGUGAUGGAGGUGAUGUGGGGCCUAAAACAUCUCAUGCAUAGUUUAGUUCCCCAAGAAAAACUGAAGCUCACAAAGGAGGACCGCUUGCCAAUGAGCCAAGGACUAAAAAUGUUCCUGUAUCAUUAUGGCUUUGAUGUCAAACCGGAGUUGGUUAAUGAGCAGGUUGUUAUUGCGGCAUGCCUCUUGCUUGAUGCUGGAUUGCUCGUGGAGAGCCACUCAGAACAACUGCGCUGGGCUGCUGGCAAGCUGAAGGAAGUGUCUGGCAUUAACCCGGAAGGCUGGUCCGCGAUGAAGACCGCGACGGCUCUGAGAAUCAUGUUUGACCCUGCAGAAACAACAAACGAGGAAAUGGAGAUUUUUACUGAAGAAGAGGUAUCAACGCUGGAGAUGACUUGCCAUAAAUAUGAAGACAUUAUUUAUAAGGACUUUGGCCUCAAGAUCCACAGUGAACUUGUGGAGAUGCGUGAAGUUAAGAAGGAUGCCCUGGGAGCACUGGGCUUCUUGCUUGGAUCAAGCGUGUGA